GAUGAACGCUGGCGGCGUGCCUAAUACAUGCAAGUCGAGCGAACGGACGAGAAGCUUGCUUCUCUGAUGUUAGCGGCGGACGGGUGAGUAACACGUGGAUAACCUACCUAUAAGACUGGGAUAACUUCGGGAAACCGGAGCUAAUACCGGAUGAUAUUUUGAACCGCAUGGUUCAAAAGUGAAAGACGGUCUUGCUGUCACUUAUAGAUGGAUCCGUGCUGCAUUAGCUAGUUGGUAAGGUAACGGCUUACCAAGGCGACGAUGCAUAGCCGACCUGAGAGGGUGAUCGGCCACACUGGAACUGAGACACGGUCCAGACUCCUACGGGAGGCAGCAGUAGGGAAUCUUCCGCAAUGGGCGAAAGCCUGACGGAGCAACGCCGCGUGAGUGAUGAAGGUCUUCGGAUCGUAAAACUCUGUUAUUAGGGAAGAACAUAUGUGUAAGUAACUGUGCACAUCUUGACGGUACCUAAUCAGAAAGCCACGGCUAACUACGUG
rnacentral:rRNA from 1 species